CUGGGCGUAAAGCGUGCGCAGGCGGUUUUGUAAGUCUGAUGUGAAAUCCCCGGGCUCAACCUGGGAAUUGCAUUGGAGACUGCAAGGCUAGAAUCUGGCAGAGGGGGGUAGAAUUCCACGUGUAGCAGUGAAAUGCGUAGAUAUGUGGAGGAACACCGAUGGCGAAGGCAGCCCCCUGGGUCAAGAUUGACGCUCAUGCACGAAAGCGUGGGGAGCGAACAGGAUUAGAUACCCUGGUAGUCCACGCCCUAAACGAUGUCUACUAGUUGUCGGGUCUUAAUUGACUUGGUAACGCAGCUAACGCGUGAAGUAGACCGCCUGGGGAGUACGGUCGCAAGAUUAAAACUCAAAGGAAUUGACGGGGACCCGCACAAGCGGUGGAUGAUGUGGAUUAAUUCGAUGCAACGCGAAAAACCUUACCUACCCUUGACAUGGCUGGAAUCCUUGAGAGAUCAGGGAGUGCUCGAAAGAGAACCAGUACACAGGUGCUGCAUGGCUGUCGUCAGCUCGUGUCG
rnacentral:rRNA from 1 species